CCUACGGGAGGCAGCAGUGGGGAAUAUUGCACAAUGGGGGAAACCCUGAUGCAGCGACGCCGCGUGAGUGAAGAAGUAUUUAGGUAUGUAAAGCUCUAUCAGCAGGGAAGAAAAUGACGGUACGUGAUUAAGAAGCCACGGCUAACUACGUGCCAGCAGCCGCGGUAAUACGUAGGGGGCAAGCGUUAUCCGGAUUUACUGGGGGUAAAGGGAGCGUAGACGGCAGCACAAGUCUGGAGUGAAAUGCCCGGGCUUAACCCCGGAACUGCUUUGGAAACUGUGCAGCUAGAGUGCAGGAGAGGUAAGUGGAAUUCCUAGUGUAGCGGUGAAAUCCGUAGAUAUCUGAAGGAACAUCAGUUGCGAAGGCAGCCACCUAGACCGGUAUUGACGCUGAGGCGCGAAAGCGUGGGGAGCAAACAGGAUUAGAUACCCUGGUAGUC
rnacentral:rRNA from 1 species